rnacentral:rRNA from 1 species
GAUGAACGCUGGCGGCGUGCCUAAUACAUGCGAGUCGAGCGAACAGACGAGGAGCUUGCUCCUCUGACGUUAGCGGCGGACGGGUGAGUAACACGUGGAUAACCUACCUAUAAGACUGGGAUAACUUCGGGAAACCGGAGCUAAUACCGGAUAACAUGUUGAACCGCAUGGUUCAACAGUGAAAGACGGUCUUGCUGUCACUUAUAGAUGGAUCCGCGCCGCAUUAGCUAGUUGGUAAGGUAACGGCUUACCAAGGCAACGAUGCGUAGCCGACCUGAGAGGGUGAUCGGCCACACUGGAACUGAGACACGGUCCAGACUCCUACGGGAGGCAGCAGUAGGGAAUCUUCCGCAAUGGGCGAAAGCCUGACGGAGCAACGCCGCGUGAGUGAAGAAGGUCUUCGGAUCGUAAAACUCUGUUAUUAGGGAAGAACAAACGUGUAAGUAACUAUGCACGUCUUGACGGUACCUAAUCAGAAAGCCACGGCUAACUACGUG